AGUCUGCUUACACAUCUGGCCAGGUAUUAUCACACAGUUGUGUACAAGGACCACAGCUCUGUUCUUUAGAACCUUUUGCUCCUUAGCAUGUCAGGGGAUCCAACUAGCACAGGAGGUCUAAUGAGCAGAGUGAUUUGGGAGGGAUGGGUACUACAACAGCUUUGUAAGACAAGAGGUUAUGUCUUCUGAUUACUUUUCCAUCAUCAAAUGAAAGAAUCGGAAAACUGGUAAGUGUGUCAGACUCCUGGCUGUCUCUUAGCAUUGAUUUCCUUUUUGCUCAUUGUCCUGGAAUUCUGAGUAUGCAAAUAGGAAAGAUGAUGAAGCUACGUUGGCCAUGUGACUAAGCUUAGGUUGAUAGGAAAUAAGCAGAAAUACUGCAAUUUCUGGGUUGUGACCUGAAAGAGAAAGGGGGUGGCUACUUGACGGGUGGUGACCGAGUUCCUGGCUCUCCAGUUGACAUUUUGAGUCCUGAGCUGCUAAGUCGCAGACUGUUGAAUGAGGCAGAAAUACAAGGAAACCACUGUCUGUGGUGGCAUUUUGGCAGAACUCUCAAGUGUAGCCUGGAUCUGGGAACCCACAAUUCAAGAAUAAGGCACCAUUUACGUACAAAACUGUUGGAUUUGGAAGGAUACUUGGUUUGGUAUGUUCAUGAAGCCACUGACUUACAGGGUCAAAGAGCUUAUUUUUCAAAUUGGCACUGCUCUCAGCUUUGGUCAGAGAAGCUUCUCCUUUCAGUGAACAAUGGUUGACGUAGAGACUCAAAACUGGUUGAAGCGCUGAGAGUAAGUGACCUUUGAGUGAUUGUCUCUAAUCUAAACAGGACAUCUAGGCUACUUCCUCCAAGGAUGAGGAAACAUUGCAGAAGUGAUGGGCAGAGGGUUAGAAAACAAAUGAAAUGAAAUGCUGCCUGGUGGGUAUGACAUGGCCAUGAUACCCAUGAAUUAAGCAGUUACUUUCCCAAGACUCAAACAAGAUGAGGGCUUAUCACAUUAUACCCUGAGCCCCCUCCCCCUUCCUGAGGAAUGAUUGGCAGGCAAUGAAUGGUAGAAGAGGGAAACUCAUCUUCUUCAGUGGUGUGUCAAUCAUGCUCCAGUACAUACAUUCUCCCCGUGCACGGGGAAGCGAUCCUAAUCAGACUCAAUGAGUCACACCCCACACCACCAUCCAAAACCAAGUAAAUAAAGAGGCAGACUUGCAGACAAGAACAGUUCUGGGUCAACAAUGUGGAAGGUGGGCUGUGAUCCCAUCUCCUCCCUGGGGGCCCUGUCUAUCUGCUGGAGGUGGUCUCUGCAGAUCCCAUCCCCCCACUGCUGGGCAAUUUUGGCUAAGUCACCUGCGAUGAGACCUGGGAGCCUCUCACAUCCCAGGUCUCUGGGGCUUUCUAGAGGUUCCCUCCACCUACCCCCUCCGAGGCUGCAUGAUGUUUAUUCCCAUUCAUUCUCCUUGCCCAUGGGCUUCUCUCCUGUCUCCUCCCCUACCUGAAAGAAAUACAGAGACAAAAGUGGAGCAGAGUGAAGGAAAGGCUGUCCAGUCAUGGGCCCAACUUGGGACCCAUCUCAUGGGUGAACACCAAACACUGACACUGUUGCUGAUGCUAUGUUGUGUUUGCUGAUAGGAGUCUAGCACGGCUGUCCUCUGAGACAGAUGCUGAUACUUACAGCCAAUCACUGGGCUGAGGUCAGGGACCCCUGUGGAAGAGCUAGGGGAAGAAUUGAAGGAGCUGAAGAAGACGCCAAACCCAUAGGAAGAACAACAGUGCUAACUAACCUGGGCCCCUAGGAGCUCUCAGAGACUGGGCUACCAACCAAAGAGCAAACAAAAUACUGGUCCAAGGCUUCCAGUACAUGUGUAGCCGAGGACUGCCUUGUCUGGCCUCAGUGGGAGCAGAUGAACAUAAUCUCGUAGAGACUUGAUGCCCCAGGGAAGGAGGAUGCCCAGGAUGGGAGGAGGCGUACCCUCUCAGAGUCAAAGGGGAGGGAGAAUGGAAUAAAGAACUCUGGGAGGGGGAACCUGGAAAGGGGGGCAACAUUUGGAAUGUAAAUAAAUAAACUAACUAAUCAAAA